CAGGCUGAGCUCUGCAAGACCUCUGAAGAAGGUGAGGGUUUUGGGGGCUGGGGCUGCAUGCAGGCUGUGGGAUGCAGAUGUGAGGAGGGCCCCCUACCCCCUAUUUGUUUCGGUUGUGAUGCUGCAGGAUGCUCUGGAUGUGCCCUGGGGUUGCUCAGCACUGAUGGUCAGGUCCUGCACACAGCACAGCUGCUCAGUGCUCAGCCUGUAUGAGCUGCUGGAAGCAAGAUAGAAAGCAGGUGUAAGAAACCUCUGGAAGGUUUUGUUGUUAAUUACUGCGAUUUCCUCUCCCUAACAAAGACUCAACAGCUGAAUGGAUCUUUUUAGUUAUGUAAAUGCAUUUUCCAUAAAUACUUAUUUUGUGGAAGAAACAAAAAAUAUCUAUCUGUGGGGGCUGGUGUGUCUUGCUGCUGGUUGAUGGAAGCCCACUUGUGCCCAGGCUGGUGGUGACACAGGUCAGCUGUGAGCAGGGCUGUCAGAGGAUGACAUUCCAUAAUCCUAACAUCCCCAAAUCCCAACAUCCUGCACCUCGGGCACACUCUGCUCACUGCUAUAGUGAGACCAAGAUGUGAUUUCUCAAUUUAGCAAAAUCAGAAUCACAUAGAAAGUACCUCACUGCUACUGAUUUAUUAGGAGAAAACUUUCCCUCUUACUGCAAAUAUGAUGUUACAUCUUCUCAUGUAUAGCAGAUAACAGUCGAUGGGGCUGGAAGGACUGGGCUGGAGCUGGUGGAUUCCUGGUGGGUUCAGAAGGUGACACUACCUGCAAUUGGCAAUGUGCUCUUUGGGGAAACAUAAGGGGUGUGCUGCCUUUAUAAGACCUCUUAAAAUCUUUGGAGAAAAGAAAGUAGUAAAGAUUGUUUUUUUCCAUAUCUCUUGCUAUUUGUCCAGAAUAACCUUUAUUGGAUGAAGCCAAUUAUUUCUAGUAAUAUUUUUUCCUUUAAUUCUUUUGCAGUUAAACUUCAGAACACUUCCUCCCAGUGUGUUCAAGCAGUGAAGGUUCAGCAAACUCUAGAUAUGUUUACCUGUGUGUAUUCAGGACGAUGACUUUCCCACUUCCAGUUUAGCCCCUCCUACAAACAACCUGAUCCCACAUUUCCUCGUCACUUUGCUCCCGUGGCUCAAAGGGCAGCUUUUACCCCUGGGGAGGGACCUGAGCUGCCAGCUAGUCUGCCAUGGAAGAAAAAUACCAAAACCUUCUCCUGAGGGUCCUUCAGCAAUCAGUCUGGGUGACAGUGUUGGCUGUGAGUUGUGUGGGAUCACACAGGUCCUGCUGUAAUGCUGAGCAUCAGCACUGCAGCAGCAACAAGGGUUUAUUUCAGUGGAAGAAAGUUGGGCUUUCCAGGACACCAGAUCCAUAGUGCUUAGAGAUCAGGACUAACAUCUGAAAUUCCAGGACGGAUGCUGCCAUACAUGCAUGAUGACACAGAAAGCCUAGAGGAUAGUCUUACUGCACAGCUGACAGAUGGCAAGCGCACAGUCCAAGGGACGCUUUACAUCUACAUCAUGCCAGUCAACGAUGAAAUCCCUCAUCUUUCCAGAAAAUGUCUCCAGAUCUGACUCUAGCAGGGUCUGAAUCUCCAUAGAGCGCAGGAAAGCUGUUUGGUCACAAAAGACCUGGUGGACUCCAGUUGUGAAGUGUCUCCAUUCCUUGUUUUGGUUUGUUUCAACUUCUUGGAAGCUGAAGCUGCUGUGCAAAGCUUAUUUCCGGGUCAGAGAAAACAUCCUCCUGCAUUCAGGUAGGUCCCUUGCAGGAUGUCCUUCAGAAGUGCCCAUGCCCCAUGAGCAUGCCUGCCCCAGCUCCAUGCCUGCCCCAGCUGGAGCUCACCCAGCUCACCCACAAGUCAUCAGAGUGAGGUGGAUGCCAUACAGCGUCCCUCAGCACACGCAGGGAAAGCUCAACCCCUCAAACUCACUCCUACAGCUGCUUCUUGCCGUAUCUCCUUCCACCACCCUUCUCUGCAGUGACACCUUUCAGCUGACUUUUAUGUCGGUUCGCUAAGCCACUGUGCUGUCUUCUUCCUUUUAUAAUUAAGCAACUUGAGAAAUCCUCAGUGGACAAUAAAUUCUGAGGAGGCUUACAUAAAACAGAAUGUAAAGUGGAGAGCCCUGCCAUCAGAAGCCAGUAAAAGUCAGCCUCUUUGUGCGACACCUCCCCAAAUGGCAUUAUG